rnacentral:misc_RNA from 1 species
GAUGAAGAACGUAGCGAAAUGCGAUAACUAAUGUGAAUUGCAGAAUUCAGUGAAUCAUCGAGUCUUUGAACGCACAUUGCGCCCCCUGGUAUUCCGGGGGGCAUGCCUGUCCGAGCGUCAUUGCUGCCCUCAAGCACGGCUUGUGUGUUGGGCUCCGUCCCCCCGGGGACGGGCCCGAAAGGCAGCGGCGGCACCGAGUCCGGUCCUCGAGCGUAUGGGGCUUUGUCACCCGCCCUGUAGGCCCGGCCGGCGCCAGCCGACAACCCAUCAUCCUUUUCAGGUUGACCUCGGAUCAGGUAGGGAUACCCGCUGAACUUAAGCAUAUCAAUAAGCGGAGGA